UUAAUUUGAGAGUUUGAUCCUGGCUCAGGACGAACGCUGGCGGCGUGCCUAAUACAUGCAAGUCGAACGAACUCUGGUAUUGAUUGGUGCUUGCAUCAUGAUUUACAUUUGAGUGAGUGGCGAACUGGUGAGUAACACGUGGGAAACCUGCCCAGAAGCGGGGGAUAACACCUGGAAACAGAUGCUAAUACUGCAUAACAACUUGGACCGCAUGGUCCGAGUUUGAAAGAUGGCUUCGGCUAUCACUUUUGGAUGGUCCCGCGGCGUAUUAGCUAGAUGGUGGGGUAACGGCUCACCAUGGCAAUGAUACGUAGCCGACCUGAGAGGGUAAUCGGCCACAUUGGGACUGAGACACGGCCCAAACUCCUACGGGAGGCAGCAGUAGGGAAUCUUCCACAAUGGACGAAAGUCUGAUGGAGCAACGCCGCGUGAGUGAAGAAGGGUUUCGGCUCGUAAAACUCUGUUGUUGAAGAAGAACAUAUCUGAGAGUAACUGUUCAGGUAUUGACGGUAUUUAACCAGAAAGCCACGGCUAACUACGUGCCAGCAGCCGCGGUAAUACGUAGGUGGCAAGCGUUGUCCGGAUUUAUUGGGCGUAAAGCGAGCGCAGGCGGUUUUUUAAGUCUGAUGUGAAAGCCUUCGGCUCAACCGAAGAAGUGCAUCGGAAACUGGGAAACUUGAGUGCAGAAGAGGACAGUGGAACUCCAUGUGUAGCGGUGAAAUGCGUAGAUAUAUGGAAGAACACCAGUGGCGAAGGCGGCUGUCUGGUCUGUAACUGACGCUGAGGCUCGAAAGUAUGGGUAGCAAACAGGAUUAGAUACCCUGGUAGUCCAUACCGUAAACGAUGAAUGCUAAGUGUUGGAGGGUUUCCGCCCUUCAGUGCUGCAGCUAACGCAUUAAGCAUUCCGCCUGGGGAGUACGGCCGCAAGGCUGAAACUCAAAGGAAUUGACGGGGGCCCGCACAAGCGGUGGAGCAUGUGGUUUAAUUCGAAGCUACGCGAAGAACCUUACCAGGUCUUGACAUACUAUGCAAAUCUAAGAGAUUAGACGUUCCCUUCGGGGACAUGGAUACAGGUGGUGCAUGGUUGUCGUCAGCUCGUGUCGUGAGAUGUUGGGUUAAGUCCCGCAACGAGCGCAACCCUUAUUAUCAGUUGCCAGCAUUAAGUUGGGCACUCUGGUGAGACUGCCGGUGACAAACCGGAGGAAGGUGGGGAUGACGUCAAAUCAUCAUGCCCCUUAUGACCUGGGCUACACACGUGCUACAAUGGAUGGUACAACGAGUUGCGAACUCGCGAGAGUAAGCUAAUCUCUUAAAGCCAUUCUCAGUUCGGAUUGUAGGCUGCAACUCGCCUACAUGAAGUCGGAAUCGCUAGUAAUCGCGGAUCAGCAUGCCGCGGUGAAUACGUUCCCGGGCCUUGUACACACCGCCCGUCACACCAUGAGAGUUUGUAACACCCAAAGUCGGUGGGGUAACCUUUUAGGAACCAGCCGCCUAAGGUGGGACAGAUGAUUAGGGUGAAGUCGUAACAAGGUAGCCGUAGGAGAACCUGCGGCUGGAUCACCUCCUUUCUAAGGAA
rnacentral:rRNA from 2 species